ACCGCCGCUCGUCUCUUCCUCAUUAAUAAGGGCAUCAAAUCUAGAGCCCAAUCUUCCUUUUCCAGCUACCUUGCUACCAGAUUCUCGCAAAUCUCUCAAUUUCUGUUGGGAUCUACUUUCCACCAGCAUCCAAGGUCCGAAUGCCGGUUCGGUUUCCUUCCCACGUUUAUCGUUGUUUUUGCUAAACUCACAGUCGGCCAUAGUUUUUCUCCCUCAUUACCAGAUGCUUCUUUCGACAGUGAGCACAUCUCCCUUACAUGUCCGUAUUUGCCACAAGCAAAACAAACUGUUGGUAAGCCUUCGUACUCCACCCUUUGAAUAUUGCCAUUAACUCGAAUUUGAGAGACAAGAGGUUUGUCCAGGUUAAUGAACACAACCAUCCUGGCAAAUCUCCCUCUAGUUCUAUUAUCAGUCUUGAAAUAAAACUUUGCAACCUUAUCUAUUGUGUUACCAAUCACCUCAAGAAUCUUCUUCUUAUACAUAAAUCCAGGUAGUCCAGAUAGCCUAAUCCAAGCCAUGACCACACUUGGGUAAGGUUGAAGAGUGGAAAAGUCUUUUGUCCAUGGUUGAACUGUCAAAUAUUACCCAAAAAUUAUCCAUGGUCCCUGGGUUAGAACCUUUUCAUAAUCAUUGUUAUUCUGAAAUUUAGCCAAAUAAUAUCCAUUUUCAAUAUCCAUUAACUGAAAAGGUUGUAUAGGCUUCCAAAGGUUACUAACUUGAUUAAACAGAACACCGUAGCUGAUAUUUCGGCCUAGUAGUUUCAGAACCACUGUCAACUCCAUCUCCUUAUAUAAUAUUUGUUUGACGCGAUCAGAAAAUUCAAUUCUCGGGAUUCCAUUAAUGGUGGAUCUGAUAACAUUAUCUUCUAGCAGAAUGAAAUCUCCAUCACUUCCCUCAUCAAAACCAGCAAUUCCCUGGUUAGCCCCAAUAGAACCAGACCCUAAUAGUUUGUCCUUCCAAGACAUUAUCAUGCUCGAAGAUGGAGCAGAGUCCACAGCCAUAUCAACAGUGACCCCAUCAGAUCCAUCUUUGAAUCUUACGUUCUUGGUAUUGCGAUCUUCAGACAACCGUGAAUCACUGUCACUUUCGAUCACUUCCAGAGAGUUCUCCACCACUUUACACAAUACAUAAAUAUUAUUUUAAUUCCUAUUGAGGUUGCUAUAAAUCAUUAUUAUUAAAAAGUUAAAUUAUAUUAACAAUCACUAAAUUAUUAAUAAAUUUUUUUAUUGAUUAUUUAAUUGUAGAAAGAUACAAAAUAUAUAUUCGAUUAUUUAAUUCUUUUCUUUUUUGUUCACCAGCUAAUAAACUUAUUCAUAGGUCAGGUUAAUUGCUCAAUUUUGAAGGUCCACUUGAAAUUUGGGAGGAUUUGAGUAAAAAGAUUAAGCUCAAAAAAUAGGCUUAUUCAAAAAAUUAGGCCUAUUUAAAAUAUGGGUCAAGCUCGAACUUAAACUUUCAAAACCCGAGCUUGGCCCAUUUUUGAGUUUAUAAUAUUUUAUAUUAUGUUAUUUUUAUAUAUUAUGAAAUUUAGAACACAUUAAAAAGAUAAGCUUAUACUAAAUAUAUAAUACUACUCUAAUGUAAACAUUAAAAUAAUAUUAAAAUGAUUAUAUAAAAAUUUUCAAUAAAUAAAAAAUGUAUAAAAUUAUUAAAUAUUAAAAUAAUAUAAUAUAAACAUAUAUUUUUAAAAUUUAAAAAUAAUAUGGGCAGAACUAAAAUAAGUUUGGGUUGGUCUUUUGCAAAUAUAGAUGAAUUUAGACAAUUUUAAGCCCAUAUUUUUGGUCGAACCAAGAUUGGGUAAGCAUAAAGUAUGUUAAUAUCAUGUUUAGGCCUAACCUAACCUAUGAGCACCUCUAUCAGCUAACUAAUGGUGACAACUUUGAAAAUUGGCUUGAUAACAACUUUAACCCCCAGUAUUUAUACAUUGUGUCAAUUUAGUAUUGAUUUUAAAAAAUCUAACCUUCAACAUUUACAUAUAGUGUAAUUUAAUAUUUUUUGCAGUUUUGUUUUUCUUAUGGGCUAAAUUAUAAGAUUAGCCAAAUCAGCGCGGUUAAUGUGGGAAGAACUAGAAAAUAAGAUUUUUAGGAGGAGAGAUCCUUAAUUGGUAAAUAUCCCAAGCUCAUCUAGGCAAAAUGGCAAAGGAGGGAUUGGUUACUCCACCAUUUUCACGAUUUCUUUUAUUUUCAAUACAAAAAUUCUCUUAAUUUUCUCUCGACUCCUUCCAUUAACCUUUGAUUAUCUAUCUGUUCAAGAUUUUAGAUAGGUGAAUUCAUUUUUCAGAAAAAUACUUGAGUUAACUCGAUAAUUGAUAUAAUACUUCACAUCUGAUCGAUUUUUAAAUUGAGUGUAGA
rnacentral:lncRNA from 1 species